AUGCAAGUCGAGGGGUAACGGGGAAGCUUGCUUCCGCCGACGACCGGCGCACGGGUGCGUAACGCGUAUACAAUCUACCUAUAACUGGGGGAUAGCCCGAAGAAAUUCGGAUUAAUACCCUAUAAUAUUUACUACUCGCAUGAGUUGGUAUCUUAAAACUCCGGUGGUUAUAGAUGGGCAUGCGGCCUAUUAGUUUGUUGGUGAGGUAACGGCUCACCAAGACUACGAUAGGUAGGGGUUCUGAGAGGAUGAUCCCCCACACUGGUACUGAGACACGGACCAGACUCC
rnacentral:rRNA from 1 species